rnacentral:rRNA from 1 species
AUUGAACGCUGGCGGCAGGCCUAACACAUGCAAGUCGAACGGUAACAGGAAGAAGCUUGCUUCUUUGCUGACGAGUGGCGGACGGGUGAGUAAUGUCUGGGAAACUGCCUGAUGGAGGGGGAUAACUACUGGAAACGGUAGCUAAUACCGCAUAACGUCGCAAGACCAAAGAGGGGGACCUUCGGCCCUCUGGCCAUCGGAUGUGCCCAGAUGGGAUUAGCUAGUUGGUGGGGUAACGGCUCACCAAGGCGACGAUCCCUAGCUGGUCUGAGAGGAUGACCAGCCACACUGGAACUGAGACACGGUCCAGACUCCUACGGGAGGCAGCAGUGGGGAAUAUUGCACAAUGGGCGCAAGCCUGAUGCAGCCAUGCCGCGUGUAUGAAGAAGGCCUUCGGGUUGUAAAGUACUUUCAGCGGGGAGGAAGGGAGUAAAGUUAAUACCUUUGCUCAUUGACGUUACCCGCAGAAGAAGCACCGGCUAACUCCGUGCCAGCCGCCGCAGUAA